UUUUUGGUUGUUAAGUUCCAUU
rnacentral:miRNA from 1 species